AGUGAACGCUGGCGGUAGGCCUAACACAUGCAAGUCGAACGGCAGCACAGUAAGAGCUUGCUCUUACGGGUGGCGAGUGGCGGACGGGUGAGGAAUACAUCGGAAUCUACUUUUUCGUGGGGGAUAACGUAGGGAAACUUACGCUAAUACCGCAUACGACCUACGGGUGAAAGCAGGGGAUCUUCGGACCUUGCGCGAUUGAAUGAGCCGAUGUCGGAUUAGCUAGUUGGCGGGGUAAAGGCCCACCAAGGCGACGAUCCGUAGCUGGUCUGAGAGGAUGAUCAGCCACACUGGAACUGAGACACGGUCCAGACUCCUACGGGAGGCAGCAGUGGGGAAUCUUCGGCAAUGGGCGAAAGCCUGAUCCAGCCAUGCUGCGUGAGUGAAGAAGGUCUUCGGAUUGUAAAGCCCUGUUAUUGGGAAAGAAAAGCUGCAGAAUUAAAUCCCGCCGUUCUGACGGUACCCAAAGAAUAAGCAACGGCUAACUACGUG
rnacentral:rRNA from 1 species